GCCCACUUUCCUUCUCCUUCAUCAUAACUUCUAAAGUCAUAUUUAUUAUUAGUUCCAAGAUUGCCCAUGACAUAUAAUAGUGAGGUAUUUCUUCAUGAUCUAAAACUAUUAUCCCCCAUUAAGAAGCCUGAGACGUCAAGUUCUAGAGGCCUCAACCCAGGAUAAGACUUAACUCUGAAUCUGAACUCGAAAUGUGACUGUGUGUGUGUGUGUGGCGCGGCGGGGUAGGGUGAGGCGGUGAGACACAGAGCUGCAGGAAGCCUAUGGGCUGGCUGGAUGUGGGGUUUGUGGGGAACAGUGGAUUGGGGGAGGCAAGUGCAUUGGUAGGCAAGAGGAAUAAAAAGGAGAAAUGGGAAAUACGUGCUAUCAGUAAAGGACCAAAGUUCAGAAAGAGAACAGUAAGUCUGGCUCCUUGGGAAGCCCUCGAUUGUUAUAGCCCUUUAUGUCUGUGGAUUAGCCCUCAAUUCAGUUCUUUUCUGGUAUAAGCAGGGUAUUUGCCAGCAUGAUCAUCUUUCCCCUGAGUCCUUGUUCAGAAUUGCAAUGAUCCAGGAAGAAACAUCAACAGAUUUUCUUCACUGUUGGAACUACCAAAACAACUUUCUUCAGAGGAUACUUCAUUUUCUUCCAGCUACUUUCAGACAUUCAAUAUCAGGAUUUUAAUUGUCACACACCUUUUCUUGCCCAUACUGGCUCUCAAGUAAUUUUGAGGCUAACAUAUCCAUCACAUACACAGGUACA
rnacentral:lncRNA from 10 species